rnacentral:lncRNA from 1 species
GGCGAAGGUCUGCAGCUUCACUCCUGAAGCCAGACAGACCACAAACCCACCGGGAGGAACCGACAACUUCGGACGCGCGGCCUUAAGAGCUGUAACACUCACCGCGAAGGUCUGCAGCUUUACUCUUAAAGCCAGCAAGACCACGAACCCACCAGGAAGAACGAAUGACUCCAGACGCGCUGUCUCAGGAGCUGUAACACUCACCGCGAAGGUCCGCAGCUUCACUCCUGAGCCGGCAAGACCACGAACCCCACCAGAAGAAAGAAACUCCAGACACGCCGCCUUUAAGAACUGUAAACACUCACCGCGAGGGUCCACGGCUUCAUUCUUGAAGUCAGUGAAACCAAGAACCCACCAAUUCCGGACACAGCAGGAUCUCACCCCCAGAACCCCCAGGUGCACAGCUGCGUAUCCUCAGGGGAAAACUCCCCUCCCCUGCCACCUUACUGAUAGUCUUCACUUCCCCGAGACAGAACUUUCCUAAUCCUGUGCAAUGCCUGAGUGGUACAUUGUAUUCUAUGAGAAUAGCGCCCCUGCCUCCAGAGUUGUGCAACAAGACCUCCAUGAAUCAAAGCCCAUCGCUGGCUGCCUCCUCUAGCCCUCCAUAGCCCAGGAGCUAAAACCUCAGCCCAGAUCAGCGGGCUGAGGGGUCAGGAGGCUGUCACUGGAGCUAUUGAGCUCAUGAACACG